rnacentral:rRNA from 1 species
GGAUGCGAUCAUACCAGCACUAAUGCACUGGAUCCCAUCAGAACUCCGAAGUUAAGCGUGCUUGGCGAGAGUAGUACUAGGAUGGGUAACCUCCUGGGAAGUCCUCGUGUUGCAUUCC